CGCCAGCGGAAGGUGUCCUCGAUAAGAUAAGUCUUAUAAAAUAUAUAGAUUCAUGAUAAUUAAGACUGAGCUAGCAUAUAAGAAAUCCUAGCCAAGUGGCCAGCAGCAUUGUAAACUAAUAUAAAACUCUGUGUGUUAUUCUGGGCACCCACAUGGUGGCAGGGCUCGAGUGGAUGGAGUGAAGACUUAUCGUUACACCCUCCCAUCCUAAAAACUUGAAUUCUUUCACUCAGCUAAUCAUCCCAUCUUAAUUCCAGAUAGAUAUCUUCCAAGUCAGCCUCACCCUAGACCCUAAGCAGCUCAGGCACAUAUAAAACAAAACCCCUCCCAUCUGUCAGCCCUGCCACUCAGCAAGUGGCUACAUGGCAAACCAGCCCAUGAGGGAUCCUGAGGGUACCCAUGAUGUGGAUGCAUGCUCUCAGACUCUACUUGUGGUGGGAAAUAGCUCCAGAGAAACACUAGCUCUGGCCCCUGCCUUCUCAGGGACCAGGCUGCCACCUAGAUACUUGGUUGAGCCUGGUGGGACCCAGGCUACUGAGAAUUAUCAACAACGGCUAUCAUACAGGAUGUUUCCAAAGCAAACACCCCCUUGGAUCAAUAGGACCAUCUGUUUCCCAUUUAGAGAGACAAUCAAGGCCUGUUUCCUAAUGGAGAUGACAAAUGAGGGGCACCGAAGAAUGUAUGAGAGCAAGACGAGGACCGGAGAAACCGCCAAGCCAAAGAGCUGCUGUGAAUCCAAAAGGCAGUCCCCUGAGGUGGGGAGGAGCCUGGUGCUAUCACAGAGCAGAGUGGAGACCUUCCUUUCCACCCUAAAUGGACAAAUGGCAAUCUCAACAAGCGACACAUAGGCCACACUGGACCGACUCCUUUGAGAAGGCUGCAACUCAGACACCCCGGAUUGCACGGCCUAGCUCACAUGUUAGCGGAAGUUCAAGUGUGCAGUGGGAAGUCAACAGUACGGUAGCAAUAGACUGCUAAUGUACAGAUGGCCGUAGUCCGUUCAAGACCUGAGCCCAGAACUCCCGUGCCAUGCAGAGAGGCCUUGGUACUCCUGGGAAUCAGCCAGAUGAGGGGUAGGGGAAGAAAUGAGAGAAGGCAAAGUUAGCAGCUGUAACACCCACACCCAGUCUUGACCUUGGAGAUGGACAAGUUUGGAUCUGUCAGCAACAGAAGUCCCAGUGACCGGUAGCUCACCGUGUUGUGUUCACAGCCCAUUCCUUGACCAGACAUCUCCCACUGGAGAUGCCAUCCCCCCCCCCGCCCCCGCGCCCCCAAUGUUUUAGCUUUUAAUUGGCAAAUGGUUCAACUCACUGUUUUUUAUUAAACAGUUUUCAAAUGCUACAAACAUCAAAACUUAAAACUUCCAUCAUUUCAGAAAGUUUUUCCCACCCCUUCAUCCCUGAUCCCUGAUCCCUUCUAACCUGGUGUUAUUUCCUUCCAGUUGCCUUUCCUGGCCUUUUCUAUCCAUGGAAUCAGGUGUCAUCUACUGUCUGGUCUCCCUCACUCAGUGCAAUGCAUUUGACACUUGUGUGGGUUGCUGUGUCGGCCUCUUCCUCUUCCUCUUCGAGGCUGGAUAUUGUUCCAUCAUGCAGGUCACCCUCCCCCCAGGGAAACAAUCUUGUUGCUUGCCUUCUCUCCUCCUCCUGUUCUUGUCUUUUCUAGAAUGCUUUUACUGGUAGAGAUAAUUUUAAAAGUUUACUGAGUGGGGCCAAAACUUUGGUUUAACCUUUUUUUUUUUUUCUUGAUGGUUCUUAAGGCUUUUCUAGAUUAACUUUUCCAUUUAGCAUUGACUUCCCAAGCUCAGUAUGAACAAGAAGCUUUGUUGGGUUGUUUUGCCAGCAUUUAUGCAUCCCAACACUUUAACGAACACAAAUCAAAGACAUUCAACAAACUCACCAAGUUACACACCCAUCACCGCAAUCAAUUUUAGGAUAUUUUAAUUAUUGCAAUAAAAAUCUGUAACCUCAUAGCUGUCAUGCCCAGUCCUUCAUAGCUUCCAGCACUGGCCACCACUAACCUGCUUGCUGUCUCUAGAAAUAUGGCUACUGGGGAUAUUUCAUAUAAAAAUCUUGCAAUGUGUGAUCUUUUCAUGUCUAGCUUCUUAUUAUCCCUCUUAUAAUGUUUUUGAGGUUUGGUCUAUGAGUCAUCACUUUUUUUUCUGGAAAAUAAUAUUCCAUUAUGUGGACAUACCACAUUUCUUCUAUAUCCAUUUUCUAGUAGAUGGACAUUCAGACUUCUCCUAUUUUUUGGUUCUUGUGAAUACUGUUGCUUUGGGUUCAUAUACAGGUUUUAGGGGGGCAACUCUUGCAGGUCUUACUGUAUAUAUGUGAGUGAAACUGCUCAUUUAUAUGGUAGCUCAACGCUGAACCAUUUGAGAAACUGUUUUUGGUGUCACUGGUACCAUGUUAUACUCUGCAAAGAGCAGGUGCUUUUGUUACAAUUAAGGUUUUAAUGUGCUCUAAAGUAUUGUUUUUGAGACAGAGCCUCGCCAGGAAGCUCAAUCAAUUUAAACUUGUGGUAAUCCUCCUGACCCAACCUCCCAGGUGCUGGGGUUCCUAGUGUUGGCCCCUAUGGCCAGCUUCUAACUUCUUUAAGCACCGCCUUUUACAAAGUGAUAAAAUUCCAUUUUACACACAUGGUUCUGCAUCCCGAAGUACACUCGUGGGAAUGUGCGCCUCCAUUUGCAUCCACAUAGAGAACUCUUCAUCUUCCUAACCAGACUCUCUAUCUGUGAAGUGAAAAAGCCCCAGGACUCCUCCCCCUCUGCCUUGGCAGCUAACAUUCUACUUUCUGUUGUGAAUGUCAGUAGUCAAAGUACCUCCUAUGCAUGGAACAUGAAGUGCUUGUCCUUUUGUGUCUGGUUUGCUUUACUCUUAGCACACUGCCUUCAAGAUUUUUUUCCACAUCGUAGAGUCUGUGAGAAUGUCCUUCCUGCUUAUGGCUGAAUAAUGUCCUUUAUAUAAGUAUAUAUAAAUUUGAUCUUUGCUAGACAGAUACUGGGUUGCCUCCAUGCUUUAGCUAUUGUGAACAAUAUUGCAUUGACCAUGGAUGGAUACAGAUCUCUUAUUUUCAGUAAUCUCAAGUAUGUUGCGCAUACACAUUCUUUUUCCUUAAAAAAAGUCAAAUAAAAUUUGAAAUUUUCCCAAUAUAAAAAUUUCAACAGAAUACUCAGUAUAGUUCUUUCCAGUUCCUACACCACUUUCCUGCUUUGGUUUCCUUAGUUUCCAUUGGUCAUACAGGAGUCUUACAGUGUUCAUGGGCACUGAAUACACACUACUGUGAAGACCUUCCUAUGGGUCACAAUUCAUCAUUUAUGUGGGUAAUUGAACCCUGAAAAUAAUGCCUUGAAAUGUUCACCUUGUUGGCCCUGUUUCAGACUCAGAGAAACAUAGGCAAUGGGCUGAAGUGCUUUCCCAAGGCUGAGAUUAAGCAUUGGUUUGGGUGAUGACCAACCCAUGGCGCCUGGUGGUGUCCCUGGGGGGUCUUUGUGAACAUGGGAGGAUUCUUAAGGCUGAUUCCUCAGCCAAAGCUGAGCUGCCUUUCUGAAAGAAACCUCUUCUUCAGACCCCUGGCUCCUCCCUCAGAGCCUGGACUCCUCCCUCAGAGCCUGGACUCCACCCUCAGAGAUCAAACUUUUCCUGAGAAACCAGAGGGUGGUCCCUGAGGAAGUCCAUGGCAUUCUGUUUCCUUCUCUCUCACUUCCCACUUGCCCCACCCCAACUCCUCCUCACACUGCCCUCCCUUUAGACAGUUCACAGGGCAUUUCAAAGCCCAGUCCAAAUCAGUUACACAAAAAGACUUCCAGGGAACACUUAAGAAAGGAGAGCACAGCUGGCCACCAUCGUGACUGAAGCUAGAGUCUCGAGUGGUGGCAUCAGGCUCUUCGCCCAUCUCUUUGGAGAUGCUGUUCUUUGAUGAUGACCUGGUUCUUUUCCACAGUAGACAGACAUUUUAGUAUGAUUCCCUUUUUAUUCAUAAGUUAUAAAUCCUACAUUAAAGGGCUACUGGUACAAAAUAUUUCUUUCAAUGUGCCCUUUUAUAAUUUAAUAGUUAACAAGAACUAUUUUUAGUAUUUGCAUGAAUUUUCCCCAAAAUAACACUGUAAGUAAACCAUCUUUAACUAAAAAUUGUGUUAUUUGAGAACUUCAUACAUGUAUAUAAUGUGUUUUGAUCAAAUCCAUCCCAUUUUCCUGAAGCUCCCCCCUUGUCCCCUAUACUAAUAUUUCCCUCAACUUUAUGUGUUUAUUUAUUUAUUUAUUUAUUUAUUUAUUUAUUUAUUAACACACUGAGUCUAUGGCCUGUAUGUGGGUGGAGGUAUAAGACAAUCUACUAGUGCAUGGGUAGCUUGCCUGCCACAUAUUGCAUCCCUGAAGAAAAGCUCUCUCUCUCUCUCUCUCUCUCUCUCCUAGCAGCCAAUUGCAAAUAGCUUCUCAGGGUGGGGUUAUUGUGAGCCCCUCCUGUUUUAGUUAUGUUGCUAUUGUAAUAAACACCACGACCAAAAACAAUUUUGACAGGAAAGGAUUUAAUUUAGCUUACAACUCUCAGGUGACAUUCUACCACUGAGGGAGGUCAGGGCAGGAACUCAAGGCAAGAACCUGAAGGCAGGAAGUGAAGCAAAGAUCAUGGAGGGGUGCUGCUUACUGGCUCAUUCCCCAGGACUUUCUCAGCCUUCUGUCUUAUACCACCCAGGACCACCUGCCCAGGGGUGACACCACCCACAGGGGGUUGAGCUGUCCCACAGAAAAUGUCCUACAAACUUGCAUACAGGACAAUCUGAUGGAGGCAUUUUCCCCAGAUGACUCUAACUUCUGUCAAGCUGACAAAAACUAACCAGGAUCUCCACAGUCCAUGUUUCCAUGCUGGCUGGCUUGAGACUGUGCCGUUCUCACUGCUAGGAGUUCAUGUGUACAGCAUCCUUGCUGCUAGGAGUUCAUGUGUGCAGCACCUUCGUUGCUAGGAGUUCAUGUGUGCAGCAUCCAUGUUGCUAGGAGUUCAUGUGUGCAGUGGUGCUGUCUUGUCUGGCAGAUUUUGUUUCACUGUAGAUUUAAAUUGUCACAGUCACUGUGGAAAUCAGUGUAGAGGUUCCUCAAAAAACUAGAAAUCUAUCCAUCAUAUAACCCAGCUAUGCUACUCCUUAGUAGCAUAAAGGACUCAACAUCCUACCACAGAGAUGUUUGUUCAUCCAUCCUUACCGCUGUUGAUUUAUAAGAGCCAGAAAACAGUAACAGCCUAGGUUUCACCGACUGAUGAAGGGUAACUAAAAUGUGGUUCAUAUACAUAACAGAACAUUAUUCAACUUCAAAGAAAAAACAAAAUUAUGAAGUUCACAGGUAAAAGAACAGAGCUGUAUAAAUUCACUGUUAGACCCAGAAUGACAAAAGCUGUAUGUUCGCUCUCAAAGGUAGAUGCUGGAUUCAAACCUUUAGAUCUGCCUACUUAAAGUGGCAUGCCCAUAAAAGUCAGGAAACUGUAAGUGGCUAUUGAAGCAGCAAGAGUCCAAGGGAGAGGACUAGAAUGCAGGUUAUGCAGGAGGAAAGCGAGAGUAGCGGGACACAAAGGGUUAAAUGGGGUAGGGGAUGGGAAAUCGGGGUAGAGAAGGGAGUAUGAGGAGAGAUAACUAGCAAACACUGAAGACCUUUGUAAACGCCAUAUGGACAACCACUACUGUAGAAACAUCUUAGAUGUGCAAUGGAGCUUAAAUGGUAGCAUUACCUUUUAAUGGGGGACAAUGCCUCUCCCAGACAACAUAGACUAUCAAAUAAAAAUCCCUGUGCCAGCUUGGUUUAGCUAUUUUCCAGAUGUCAAUCAGUGGGGUCCUAAAGAUUCCUCCUCAGACACUACAGGCUAUCCCCAUUGCUCUUGGAAACCCUUCCAGAACGUGGUGGGAAGAUCUUAUUGCUGAAGACACUGCUACUUGAGUAAUAGGACACAGAGUGAUUAA
rnacentral:lncRNA from 1 species